UACGAAGGGGGCUAGCGUUGCUCGGAAUCAUUGGGCGUAAAGAGCGUGUAGGCGGCCCGGUAAGUCCGCUGUGAAAGUCGAGGGCUCAACCCUCGAAUGCCGGCGGAUACUGUCGGACUAGAGUCCGGAAGAGGUGAGUGGAAUUCCCGGUGUAGCGGUGAAAUGCGCAGAUAUCGGGAGGAACACCAAUGGCGAAGGCAGCUCACUGGGACGGUACUGACGCUGAGACGCGAAAGCGUGGGGAGCAAACAGG
rnacentral:rRNA from 1 species